rnacentral:rRNA from 1 species
GACGAACGCUGGCGGCGUGCUUAACACAUGCAAGUCGAACGGAAAGGCCCUGCUUGCAGGGUACUCGAGUGGCGAACGGGUGAGUAACACGUGGGUGAUCUGCCCUGCACUUCGGGAUAAGCCUGGGAAACUGGGUCUAAUACCGGAUAGGAGCCAUUUUUAGUGUGAUGGUUGGAAAGUUUUUUCGGUGUAGGAUGAGCUCGCGGCCUAUCAGCUUGUUGGUGGGGUAAUGGCCUACCAAGGCGGCGACGGGUAGCCGGCCUGAGAGGGUGGACGGCCACAUUGGGACUGAGAUGCGGCCCAGACUCCGACGGGAGGCAGCAGUGGGGAAUAUUGCACAAUGGGCGCAAGCCUGAUGCAGCGACGCCGCGUGGGGGAUGACGGCCUUCGGGUUGUAAACUCCUUUCGCUAGGGACGAAGCUUUUUGUGACGGUACCUAGAUAAGAAGCACCGGCUAACUACGUG